CUAAAGAAUCCCCGCCGCAUUGCAGCGGGUCGCAAUCCUAGUUAUAUACAAAUAUGCAAUAACAAUUUAUUCCAUGUUAAUAAAAAUUAAACUAUUCUUAGCUAAGCUAAAUACACGGUUAACCACCAAUAACCGGCCCACUAUAACCAUCAAAACCGAAUAACCAUAACCACCAUAACCGAUCAGUUAUGGUUAUGGUUAUCCAAUAACCGACAUCGCGGUUAUGCUCUAUACGCAGCGUAUAUAACUCAUCAGAAUUUUGUUUGGUUAUUUUGGUGUAUUAGUGUUAUAAAUUUUCACCCGGUUCCAACGUUAAAUCGCUUAAAAUAUAUAACCGUUAAUGUUAUACCGUUAAUAUUAUAUACCGUUAAUUUUUUUUUGAAAAACGUAUAUAAGAUUUGAAUAUAUUAUAUUAUUAUCGUUUAAAUUAAAUUAUUAUACCACGUCUAGUGCGGUUCGAAUACUAUAAACGUUUAAACAUCAUAGCGUUAAUUAUUUUAAAUACUCGUGUACGGUUUGAAUAUAGGGUGUGUUUGUUAGCUGAUAAAACAAAAAUAUUAUAACAUGUUUAUUAGUGAAAUUAAAAGGUUCUAAAACCAAAAAAAAAAAAAACAAUAGAAAAUACCAAUACCGUAUAUUAGA
rnacentral:lncRNA from 1 species